AGAGGGAGCUGUUCUGACGCUCAUUCCUCCCGGUGUUUAUGGCCGGACCCCAAGGUCGUUUUGCUCUUCCUCCUGCGCCGAGGAAGACUCAGCCCUGGCCAUCCUUGAGAGAUGCUUGUCGAAGGCUCCCAGGAAAGGGCUUCAGCAGCUUUUCCCAGGAGGAUUUUCCGAAAGCGCGAACGGGAUCUUUUUGAAUCGUCGCUCUGCCCUCCAAAGGGCUCUAUGCUUCCCCUUCUCCCAGCAGCGACAUCUGCCACGGGACGGGCUCUCCAGUCCCCUUGCUUAGGAGACAGAAACACAAAUCGAUCUCGUCGCUCGGGGCACUAAUCUGCUCCCAGCCUCUCCUGGGGACCCUGGCCCUUUUUUCCACGUCGCCUGGGACACAACGCGUGUCACCCGGUGGGAGAGGAGCUGCUGUGUGAUGGGAGAUGAGCUGCCCCGGGUCGGGCGAGAAGGGACAGGACCGCGGGAGGGAUGUACCUGUUCCCCGCCAACACCCGCCGCCGAAAACUCCUCUUAAACACAAUUUGCUUAAGUCAUUUCUCCCCCCGACCUGCGAGCCAUGUAUUUAUGUACUGUGGUAAAUGUUAUGCCUUGAAAAGACCCGCACAUGAAUAAAAAAUCAGGCUGUCACUCCGCCGUGCUCCUUUUAAAGAGAAAUUGCUUAAAGCAGCAAGAAAGACGUCUAAUCUUGGGGCUCUGGGAGCCGGUGUUUGCGAACGUGUGGGGGAGGCGGGGGUCACUGCAGUUUAUGCUCAUGAAUAAUGAAUCUGACAUUGUAGCUAUGCAAAUGUAACCUAACAAGCUCCAAACUAAAUAAAAAUCUUGUUUGUUAUGUCAA